rnacentral:rRNA from 1 species
GACGAACGCUGGCGGCGUGCUUAACACAUGCAAGUCGAGCGAUGAAGUUCCUUCGGGAACGGAUUAGCGGCGGACGGGUGAGUAACACGUGGGUAACCUGCCUCAUAGAGGGGAAUAGCCUUUCGAAAGGAAGAUUAAUACCGCAUAAGAAUGUAGUUUCGCAUGAAACAGCAAUUAAAGGAGUAAUCCGCUAUGAAAUGGACCCGCGUCGCAUUAGCUAGUUGGUGAGGUAACGGCCCACCAAGGCGACGAUGCGUAGCCGACCUGAGAGGGUGAUCGGCCACAUUGGGACUGAGACACGGCCCAGACUCCUACGGGAGGCAGCAGUGGGGAAUAUUGCACAAUGGGGGAAACCCUGAUGCAGCAACGCCGCGUGAGUGAUGACGGUCUUCGGAUUGUAAAACUCUGUCUUCAGGGACGAUAAUGACGGUACCUGAGGAGGAAGCCACGGCUAACUACGUGCCAGCAGCCGCAGUAA